rnacentral:rRNA from 1 species
UUAGGCAUAUUAUUCAGGGGAGGAAAAGAAACUAACUAGGAUUCCCUUAGUAGCUGCGAGCGAACAGGGAGGAGCCCAGCGCUGAAUCCCCGAGGCCUUGCCUCGUGGGACCUGUAGCGUUUAGGAGGGUCCAUUAGCUCGGAGACCGCAGCUCGCUCAAGUCACACUUGAACGGUGCCCCCCAGAGGGUGAUAGGCCCGUAGAGCAGACGCGGUCGCCGUGCGGGCCUCUCCUUAGAGUCGGUUUGCUUGAGAGUGCAAACCAAAGUGGGUGGUAAACUCCAUCUAAGGCUAAAUAUGACCACGAGACCGAUAGCACACAAGUACCGUGAGGGAAAGGUGAAAAGGACUUUGAAGAGAGAGUUCAAGAGUACGUGAAACUGAGGUGGUGAAAAACGGACGAGAUGGAAAUUGCUGAAGCGGGAGAUUCAGGCCUCAUACCGUACAGCGGCUAGGUGGCGGGGCUUCUGUACAGGGGUGCCUUCCGGUGCCCUUCCCACUAGGUUCCUACGGGUUCCGAAAUGGGAACUUUUGCUCUCGUUUGCCGACGCUCGCUCGGAGGGACUGCACUUCUCCCGUAGUAAGCCGUCGCGACUCGUUGGGGUGAUCCGAUCGAAGGCCCGUGGUGGAGCCCGCUCUCGCUCUUCGGAGAGGGUGGCGGACCCGCGGUGACCUGGUCGGCGCCCGACGGUACAACCCAUUGCAGGGCUGGGCCGCAGCAGCGCCUGAUGCUCUUCGAGCUAUCCCCAGGCGGGCUCGUGCCCUGGUCAGCGGCGCUUUUGCUUUCCAACCUCAUCCGACCCGUCUUGAAACACGGACCAAGGAGUCUAACAUGUGCGCAAGUCAUUGGGUUUUAAAACCUAAAGGCGAAGUGAAAGCAAGCGCGGCGAGUAGCUCACGCGAAAGCUGUGCAUGUGGGUGAUGGAUGUCCCUAACCGGCUUCCCGCAACCCCCGGGCGCCUCAUUCUCUCCGAGAGGGGGUGCACCGUGAGCGCACAUGCUAGGACCCGAAAGAUGGUGAACUACGCAUGGCGAGAACGAAGUCAGGGGAAACCCUGGUGGAAGUUCGCAUCGGUUCUGACGUGCAAAUCGAUCGACCGAGCUGUGUGUAGGGGCGAAAGACUAAUCGAACCGUCUAGUAGCUGGUUCCCUCCGAAGUUUCCCUCAGGAUAGCUAGCACUCAAUUCAGUCUCAUCCGGUAAAGCGAAUGAUUAGAGGCCUUGGGGCCGAAACGUCCUCAACCUAUUCUCAAACUUUAAAUGGGUGAGAUCCGCGGCUUUCUUGAACUGAAGCCGUGGACUCGCGGAUGACGAGUGCCCAGUGGGCCAUUUUUGGUAAGCAGAACUGGUGCUGUGGGAUGAACCAAACGCAGAGUUAAAGCGCCUAAAUGGAAGCUGAUGGGAAACCAUGAAAGGCGUUGGUUGCUUAAGACAGCAGGACGGUGGCCAUGGAAGUCGGAAUCCGCUAAGGAGUGUGUAACAACUCACCUGCCGAAGCAACUAGCUCUGAAAAUGGAUGGCGCUGAAGCUUCCUGCUUAUACUCUGCCGUCAGGGCAGAGGAGCGGUUUCGGCCGUUCGUGAAGCUCUGAUGAGUAGGAGGGCGCGCCGGUGUGCGCAGAAGCGAUGGGCGUAGGCCCGCGUGGAGCCGCCGGUGGUGCAGAUCUUGGUGGUAGUAGCAAAUACUCUGGAGAGGCCCUGGAAGGCCGGUGUGGAGAAGGGUUUCGCGUCAACAGUUGUUGAACGCGAGUAAGUCGAUCCUGAGCCCUAGGGGAAACCCGAUGUUGAUGGUCGUGCCUUGACAACCCCAUUUCCUGGCCGACCGUCGGGCGAAAGGGAAUGCGGUUUCGAUUCCGCAACCCAGACUACGGAUGCGCCUAGCGGGCUCUCAUACCCGUCACGGUAACGUGACUAACCCCGGAGAAGCCCUCGGGUGCGGUCAGAAGAGUUAUCUUUUCUCUGUAAGCACGCACGCUCCCUGGAAGCAUUUCGCAUGGAGAUAGGGAGUAGCGGGCGAAGAGCGCCGCACUUGUGGCGGUGUUGAACCGUAUCCCCUGGGACCUUGAAAAUCCGGGCGAGGGCCACGUGGACUCCGAGCUGGCUCGUACCGAUAUCCGCAUCAGGUCUCCGAGGUCC